AGAGUUUGAUCAUGGCUCAGGAUGAACGCUGGCGGCGUGCCUAACACAUGCAAGUCAAGCGAUUUACUUCGGUAAAGAGCGGCGGACGGGUGAGUAACGCGUGGGUAACCUGCCCUGUACACACGGAUAACAUACCGAAAGGUAUGCUAAUACGAGAUAAUAUGCUUUUAUCGCAUGGUAGAAGUAUCAAAGCUUUUGCGGUACAGGAUGGACCCGCGUCUGAUUAGCUAGUUGGUAAGGUAACGGCUUACCAAGGCGACGAUUAGUAGCCGACCUGAGAGGGUGAUCGGCCACAUUGGAACUGAGACACGGUCCAAACUCCUACGGGAGGCAGCAGUGGGGAAUAUUGCACAAUGGGCGAAAGCCUGAUGCAGCAACGCCGCGUGAGCGAUGAAGGCCUUCGGGUCGUAAAGCUCUGUCCUCAAGGAAGAUAAUGACGGUACUUGAGGAGGAAGCCCCGGCUAACUACGUGCCAGCAGCCGCGGUAAUACGUAGGGGGCUAGCGUUAUCCGGAAUUACUGGGCGUAAAGGGUGCGUAGGUGGUUUCUUAAGCCAGAGGUGAAAGGCUACGGCUCAACCGUAGUAAGCCCUUGAAACUGGGAAACUUGAGUGCAGGAGAGGAGAGUGGAAUUCCUAGUGUAGCGGUGAAAUGCGUAGAUAUUAGGAGGAACACCAGUUGCGAAGGCGGCUCUCUGGACUGUAACUGACACUGAGGCACGAAAGCGUGGGGAGCAAACAGGAUUAGAUACCCUGGUAGUCCACGCCGUAAACGAUGAGUACUAGCUGUCGGAGGUUACCCCCUUCGGUGGCGCAGCUAACGCAUUAAGUACUCCGCCUGGGAAGUACGCUCGCAAGAGUGAAACUCAAAGGAAUUGACGG
rnacentral:rRNA from 1 species